rnacentral:rRNA from 1 species
UACGUAGGGUGCGAGCGUUGUCCGGAAUUAUUGGGCGUAAAGAGCUUGUAGGCGGUUUGUCGCGUCUGCUGUGAAAAUCCGGGGCUCAACCCCGGACUUGCAGUGGGUACGGGCAGACUAGAGUGUGGUAGGGGAGACUGGAAUUCCUGGUGUAGCGGUGAAAUGCGCAGAUAUCGAGGAGGAACACCGGUGGCGAAGGCGGGUCUCUGGGCCGUAACUGACGCUGAGGAGCGAAAGCAUGGGGAGCGAACAGG